UGCCGGGAACCGAGAGAGAUCUCCGAGAAAGCGAAACUGAAACUUUGCGCUCCAGGGCGGCGGGGCCCGACGCACCCCUGCCAGUGCCCGGCACAGCGGCGUCGCGAGUCGCGGCGUCAUCCCCAUGCGGAGAGCCAUGGCUUCGAACCUCUGCCCGCCGUCCCCGCUGCUCGUGCGGGUGUCGCAUCCCGGCACCCGCCUACCAUGGAAGCUGGAAAAGUACUUCCAGAGCCGGGAGUCGGGCGGCGGGGAGUGCAUCGUGCAGGCCCGGGACCGCAACGACCCCAACUCGGUCACCUUCCGGGUGCAGUUCGUGCAUAGGGCGAGUAAGGAGGGAGUGUUGAAGAAAGGAAAGCACCAAAUUGUGGUUGACAACAAACCUGUGACUAUAUUCCUGGAACCCAAUGACAAUGCAGCAGAGAACACCAGGAUGUCUUCUUUGACACAGUCACAAAAAGGGGCCAGCCCUGGUGAGAAGCAUUCAAAUGAAAAGGACAUUUCUAGCGCUGUGGAUUCCUGUGUCCAGGAGAUCUUUCUUACUGUCACAGCUGAACUGAACUGUCACCUGUUCUCUAAAGAGCAGAGGGAACACAUCGCCAUUCUCUGCCCCAGUGUCGAGCGAGUGAAAGGCCAUGAAGGAAUUGAGAAAGUGCGUGGUGACUUCAGAGAUAUUGAAAAAAUACAUGGCUUCUUGAGUGAACAACUCCUGGAAAAGGAGCAGAAACGAGAAUCUUCCCCUUUGACAACAGAGAGGGAGCCACUCCAUCAGCAGGACGGGAACAGCUGUGUUUCUCCCUCUGAACCAAAAACCAGGUCGGAAGAAAAAAGCAACCGUUUUGAAGUUCCCUUGGCUUUCUUUGAAUACUUCAAAUACACCUGCCCUGAUAAAAUAUACUCAAUAGAGAAAAUGUUUGGUAUAAAAAUUAAAACUCAGAAGAGUUCUCCGAAUAUGGUCUGUUUAGACAUCACCUCAAGUCAAUCAGGUAACCUCGAAGCAGCUUGCGAGUCUUUUGUCAGAGAAUUUCAGAAGCGUGUGAAGACUCUGAAGCAGGAAUGUGUUACUCUGGCAGACAGUAAGCAGGCACACAAAAUCAGGCAGGAAUUAAGUCACCAGUUUACAAGGCUCCUUAUAAAGGAGAAAGGAGGAGAAUUAACUCUCCUUGGGACCACAUAUGACAUUGCAGCUGCCAAACGUUUUCUUGCCUCAGAAAUCUCUGAAAGUCUUGUCGAGGCACCUGUGAAAAUAUCGACUCCCAAGCACAUGAUGAAUGGAAUUGAGGUUGACACUGCUCACUAUAAGCUUUUAGAAGCAGAGUUACUCCAGGAGAUAUCACAGAUCGAAAAGAAGUACGACACUCAAAGUAAGGUUUUGGAAACAAGUCAGAAAACCUACAUUCUAUUUGAACCUAAAACCAAGGAGUUAGAUCUAUCUGUGCAUGCGUAUUCAAGUUUCAUUGAUGCCUAUCAACAUGUCUCAGGUCAGAUUAUGAGAGAAGUUCUUUGGCUGAAACUUUUGGGCAAGGAGAGAAAGCACUUACAUGGGACCAAGUUCUCUGAUGACUUUCGAAAAAGGCAUCCAGGUGUAGACUUUGUGCUAAAUCAAGAGUCAGUGACUUUGAUUGGGUUGCCAGAUCACCUUACAAAGGCAAAACAGUAUGUCUUAAACAGAGGGGGAACGUCUCCAUUAGCUAGAGAGAAAUGGAAUGAAACACCCACGGACACGGAUAGUAAUGAUUCAAAAACAGCUUCACCAACAUUGCAGCGCUCUACCAGUUCUGAGGUGUCAGAAGUGGACAAGGAAAAGGACAUAUGUACCAUCUGUUUGAACACCAUUAGUAACAGACAAGUGCUCCCAAAGUGCAAGCAUGAUUUCUGCAGCCCUUGUAUCAACAAAGCCUUGUCAUAUAAGCCAGUCUGUCCUUUGUGCCAGACUUCCUAUGGCGUCCAGAAAGGGAAUCAGCCAGACGGAAACAUGAAUGUCAUUUUCAAAAGAGACUCACUUCCAGGUUAUGAAUCCCAUGGCACCAUUGUGAUUACUUACAGAAUUGAAGGAGGCAUACAAACAAAAGAGCACCCAAACCCAGGAAAGAGAUUUUCUGGAAUAUGUCGAACUGCAUACUUGCCUGAUAACGAGGAAGGAAGAGAGGUUUUGCAGCUGCUUCAUAGGGCCUUUGACCAAAAACUGAUUUUCACAGUGGGAGACUCUCGAGUAUUAGGAGUCGCAGAUGUCAUUACGUGGAAUGAUAUCCACCACAAAACGUCCAGGUGUGGGGGACCAGAAAGGUGAGAAGCUUUUGAAACAGAAUGGCUGCUAAACAGAAUUUAGAGGUCGUAAAACAUGGCAAUUUGAGGAUGUGACUGCAAGGAGACAGUUUCUAGCAGUGGGAUUGGAUGCAGUGUUUUGACAGAUGCUCAUCUGGGGUGAUAAUCUCAAAGACAGAAAGAUUGCUUCCUAUGACCUUCUACCCUCCCAACCACAAAGCGUCAUACAGUUAAUAAAUUUUGCAUCAGUGGGCAGCAGAUCUUCAGAAUCCAAGAUGAAUGGUAUCUAAGGUAUGGCUACCCUGAUCCUGGCUAUCUGAAACGCGUCAAACAGGAGCUGAAGGAUAAAGGAAUUGAGUAAGAAGAGUAUUGGAAGGAUAAGUUGAGCCAAGCUUGCAAAAGGCACAGUUGAAGAAGCAGAGUAAAUUCUAAUCUAAAUCCUUAUGUAAAAACACCUUUAAAACUGUUUCAUCUCAAGAAGUGGUUUGUGGGGAAUUCCCUGGCGGUACAGGGGUUAGGACUCCGAGCGCUUCCACUGCAGGGGGCACAGGUUCGAUCCUGCGGUUGGGGAACUAAAAUCCUGGCUGCACAGCCAGAAGAAAAAAAAAAAAGAAGUGCUUUGUGUAAGAGUAAGAAUCUGCUGGUCUGUCAUUUCUGGAGUGUUACAUUUUCUGGAAGAUCUGUGUAAUCUUGCUGCAGAGGUAGUGUGCCUCAUUCUCGUGUCAUCUUUGUGGAGGCUAGAGGGGUGGAGUUCUGUGGAUCUGAAAUCAUCUUCUGUGUUGUUCAGCUGAAGUUCCAGCUGUCAGUGGAUCCUCCUUUUAUUGCCAUCUCUCGGGUAGUCCCUCAGUUUUGUCUGUUUGCUCUUUGAUCCCUACCCUAAAAGUAAAACCUUAAUGUGAAGGGUGGUCGGGUGGGAGGAAGGCUUUGGUUAUGGAAAAUUAGAGACCUACGUUAACCUCCCUGCACCAUGGCCAGAGGAGUGGCCAGGACAGAGACUGAGCAACCUUGGUAAUAAAGGGAAUAAGGCUAUUAUUUUUGACAACACAGAGCCUGGUGACCAGUUGGUGCUUAAUAAAUGUUUGCUGCCUGACUCAAGUUGCUAGUAACCCCGCAGAGAAACAUGUUCCCUAAAUCUUUGGCAGAGGCAGGAGUAAGGAAGACAGCUCUGGAGUCCUCACCACUUAUUUGGGAAACGGAGUUUCUUACUCCAGAACUCAUGACCUCUGAACUCUGACCGGCCUCUAACUUUGUCCUUGCUCCCUGCUGAUUCCUAUAACCUGCCAUAUGGUGUGCACUUCCCCUGCCCUAGUAAUGCUACCCAUCUCUGAACAUUUUUCCCUCUGGAUAUAACUGUACUUUUUCUUUUUUUUUUUGCGGUACGCGGGCCUCUCACUGUUGUGGCCUCUCCCGUUGCGGAGCGCAGGCUCAGCGGCCAUGGCUCACGGGCCCAGCCGCUCCGUGGCAUGUGGGAUCUUCCCGGACCGGGGCACAAAUCCGUGUCCCCUGCAUCAGCAGGCGGACUCUCAACCACUGCGCCACCAGGGAAGCCCUAUUGUACUUUUAUGUAUACCCCGCUUGCAGUUUUAACAGAUAAAUCACAGGAAUCUCCAUAGACUCUCAUGAGAAAAAUGAGAAAAAACCCUUUUCCUCCCUUUUGCUAAGUCCUACCACGUCAUGCUUUCUCCCUUAAAAUACGUCUCCCUAAAAUUGUCUGGACAGAGAAAAGGCUAGAGUCGUGCCUACCAUAAGGAAUACGGACAUGUCAAAUUUACUUUUAAAUGGUUCCUCAAGUCAGAAGAAAGUUUUAAUAGCAAACUAUCUCGUUAUCCAUGUCCCAGCCUCUCUCCAAAAAUGAUGAAAGAGAUGUCAUUUUCUUUUCCUAAAGAUACGUGUACACACAGUUUUUUUGGUCAGACAGUAAUAGUUAAUAUUGUAUACUUAUUUUGUCCCCUUUAUGAGAGCUUUAUAUCUGUGUGAUUGAUACUGUUGGCAUCCCCGUUUCAUAACUGAGAAAACAUGUACAGAGAGGAUAAGUACCUUGACAAAGAUCACAUAAUUAAUAAGCAGAAGUUCUGGGAUUCGAAGGAGUUAGUCUGGCUCCAAGGCUUCUGUGCCCUAGAGCUGUAUAGUCUCCUACAGGGGUCUUUUCCUCCAAGGAGGAGGCUGAGGACUCCCCAUUAUUCUGAGCUUCUCUCAGAAAUGGAUUCCUGCACAGUGCUCAAAGCAGAUUUCCUCUGAGGAAUUCCUGUUUGAAGAACUUAAAAACCCAGAAUCUUUUUCUUUGUCCAGAGAGUUGAGGAAGUUUAAGGUAAAUGAUAUGUUUUUUUUUAAAAAAUCAGAUUAGACAUUUAGUUUUUGGUGAUUCAUUAAAGUCUUAGAGUUAUGAUUGUUUUGUAUCUAUGGAUAUUUUAGCUAAAUUUGCUUCAAAAAAGCAAAAGUUUGGUCCCUGCUAAGGUCUGGAUCCUUGAUUGCAACGUGUACGCAAGUUUCCUAGUGUGGUUGGUGAGCCUUCGGAUUACUGCUCUUGCUCUGUGGAAGGUAUUAUCAUUGAUAUCUGCUAAAAUAAAGUUAUAUCCAUUUUAGGAACA